CCUACGGGAGGCAGCAGUGAGGAAUAUUGGUCAAUGGCCGAGAGGCUGAACCAGCCAAGCCGCGUGGGGGAAGAAUGUCCCACGCAUUGUAAACUUCUUUUGUCAGGGAGCAAAAUCACACACGAGAGGGUGAUGGAGAGUACCUGAAGAAAAAGCAUCGGCUAACUCCGUGCCAGCAGCCGCGGUAAUACGGAGGAUGCGAGCGUUAUCCGGAUGUAUUGGGUUUACCGGGUGCGUAGGCGGGCUAUUAAGUCAGCGGUAAAAUCGUGGGGCUCAACCCCAGCAAGCCGUUGAAACUUAUGAUCUUGAGUGGUCGAGAAGUAUGCGGAAUGCGUGGUGUAGCGGUGAAAUGCUUAGAUAUCACGCAGAACUCCGAUUGCGAAGGCAGCAUACCGGCGGCCAACUGACGCUGAAGCACGAAAGCGUGUGUAUCGAACAGGAUUAGAUACCCUUGUAGUC
rnacentral:rRNA from 1 species